GGCGCUACCGGUGAGCCUGGAUCGCAACCAGGAGGUCGCCGGUUCGAGCCCGGCUAGCUCCA
rnacentral:tRNA from 1 species